UACGAAGGGUGCAAGCGUUACUCGGAAUUACUGGGCGUAAAGCGUGCGUAGGUGGUGAGUUAAGUCUGAUGUGAAAUCCCCGGGCUCAACCUGGGAAUGGCAUUGGAUACUGGCUCGCUAGAGUGCGGUAGAGGGUGGUGGAAUUCCCGGUGUAGCAGUGAAAUGCGUAGAGAUCGGGAGGAACAUCUGUGGCGAAGGCGGCCCACUGGGCCGGUACUGACGCUGAGGCACGAAGGCGUGGGGAGCGAACGGG
rnacentral:rRNA from 1 species